rnacentral:rRNA from 1 species
UACGGAGGGUGCGAGCGUUGUCCGGAAUCACUGGGCGUAAAGGGCGCGUAGGCGGCCUGAUAAGUAGGGGGUGAAAUCUUGCGGCUUAACCGCAGGGCUGCCUUCUAAACUGUCAGGCUAGAGCACAGUAGAGGCAGGUGGAAUUCCCGGUGUAGCGGUGGAAUGCGUAGAGAUCGGGAAGAACAUCAGUGGCGAAGGCGGCCUGCUGGGCUGUUGCUGACGCUGAGGCGCGACAGCGGUGGGGAGCAAACAGG